UACAGGGACAACAGACGGAAAGACCUGCACAAGAACUGUAGAAGGCUGCCUUGAAGGUGACUGCAAAGUAACGAUACCUUGCGUCAAUGGAGCUUGCGAUGAACUUGGCCGCUGUGUCUGCAAGCCAUGCUGGGAAGGCGACUCUUGCGACGAGUUCGUGGACCUGUAUCCGCCGUCGUUUCCGAGCCGCACCGAGGUGGUUGGCAUCUCAGAGCCCGACGUGUCCCGGCCCGUGUUCCGCGCCGUGGCCAAGGACCGCGAUCUCGAGGACACGUGCGAGGGCCACGAACCUUGCGCAUGCGCGCUCAACAGCUACGCCAUCGUGGCCGGCAACCGGUACCAGCUCUUCUCGGUGGACAACGUCACCGGCCAGGUGACGCUCGAAGACCCGCACCACUUGGUCGAGGGCGUCCCAUUCCCGGUCACCUUUGCCGCCUGGUCGCCGGCAAGCCUCGAGAACGACACCGACCCGGACACUACCAUG
rnacentral:lncRNA from 1 species